rnacentral:rRNA from 1 species
AGCGAACGCUGGCGGUAUGCUUAACACAUGCAAGUCGCACGGGCAGGGGUAACUCUGUCAGUGGCGGACGGGUGAGUAACGCGUAGGUAUCUGUCCAUGGGUGGGGGAUAACGGCGGGAAACUGCUGCUAAUACCGCAUGACACCUGAGGGUCAAAGGCGCAAGUCGCCUGUGGAGGAGCCUGCGUCCGAUUAGCUUGUUGGUGGGGUAAUGGCCUACCAAGGCGAUGAUCGGUAGCUGGUCUGAGAGGAUGAUCAGCCACACUGGGACUGAGACACGGCCCAGACUCCUACGGGAGGCAG